UGAGGGUCAGGCCAACCUCAGUGUUAGCUCAGGUUCCUCAGAAGCUGUCCAGAAAAGUGCUGCAACCUCCCAAACCCAGAGCAUUUCUGUGAAGCUGCCUGGGCAGAAGUGCACUCAGCAGCCAGCAGGACUGAUCAUUCCCCAUGACAUGGCACUGGGCAGAGGUCAAUGGGAGCACUGAGUCCAGUUCUGUCUUUCCCAGCACAAGAAAGGUGUCAACCACACAGAAUGAGCCCAAGGGAGGGGUCACCGGGGUGGUGGGGGGCUGGAGCGAGUGAUCAGAAGGAGAAGCUGAGGCAGCUGGUUUAUUUUAACCUGGAGAAGGAACCACUGAAGGGAGGUCUCCUGGCUGCCUGCAGCUACCUAUUGGGAGCCUGUAGGGAAGAUGAAUCCAGAUUCUUAUGAGAGAUUCACAGUGAAAGGGCAAAAGGCAAAGACACAGCUUGGAAGACAGGAAAUUACAGUUAGCUAUUAAGAAUUUUUUUUUUUUCACUGGAAGAGCAGGAAAAUGUGAAGCAGACUGGCUGGAGAAGUGCUGGAGUCUCCAUCCUUGGAGAUGCUCAGAACUCAAGAGAACAAGUCCAGAGUAAGGAGAUUUAGUGCAGCAGAUCUUGCAGGACCAUUGUGAUGUAAUCUGAUUUAGGACUGAGACAUUGUCUAAGCCAUCCUCUGAGGCUGAUUUAGAAUCUUUCAGCAAAUGUUCUUCUCUCUGAGUAAUGUUAACUGAUUACUGCCUGUUUGGAGAAGUAUUUAUUCUCUCUGCCAGUUGGACAUAUUCCUCUUGCUGUGUGACCAGAAUCCCAGUUUAUUUGCAAUAUUAACUGCACUGCACUUCAGAGGAGCCUGCAAGAGAUGAGAGUGUCUAUAAGCCCAGCUGACAGACCCAAUAGCUGCAAAAGCAAUGCAGCCCAUCAUUUCCAGUUAGGACACAUCCCAGUCAUAUAUCUCUGCAGCCUGCAUACUUGAUUAUUGGAACAUUCAUCCUGGCUUCAAAGCAGAAUCUGGAAAAACUUCAGCUGGCAGAUACAACCACCUGCUUCCUUUGCAGCAGUUCUCAGAAAACAUCAAUCCAUGUACCAGGCACUUUGCUGGCUCCCUAAUGAUCUCUGAGUCAAUUUUCAGGACCUUGUGCCGAGUUCUCAGAAGCACUUAUGUGAGCUGGGAAACAUCAGCAAUAUCUGCAGGGUCUUGAUGGUCUUCUCCUCAGACUCCAGCUCCUACCACCCCAAGAGGAUUCGAUCUAUGGGCAACUUUGCAGCACCAGCACCAUCCCCUUGGCUCAAGGAUAAUUCAACAGUUAUUGAACCAGAAGGAAAGCAAGCCUCAAUGGGAUUCUCUUACCCAAUAAGACUUGCAUUUGCUUGGGUAAAGGGAGACAUGGGUCUUCUUCAUUCUCCAAGGCUUCUUUAUGCAACACAAAAUUUUGAGUUAGGAAAUUGGAGCAGAGUUCUUCACUAUCCCUUCCCCACCUAGCUAGGAUCAUCAGUUGUGGCCAGUUUUCUUCAGACUUCAAGUUGCUGCAAUCAUUCAUUGAGGCAACAGUACAAAGCUGCCAAUUUGAAAACAAGACUUUGCUCAGUAGCAGAAGAAAAUGAAAAAUUCAAGGGAUCUUCUCUGUGAGGCAGCUGCUGCUCCUGGCAUGUCACCGUGGAGCCAACCUGGCCUUCUUGCCUAUGGAAAGAAAGCACCUUAUCUGUUACACACCCUGGGAUGAACUGCCCUUGUCAGUGGAAGAUACAGCAGGAAGAAAACUCCAGAGAAAUUGCAAGAUCCAUUUGUAACAAACAUAAUAAAUAUCAAUAAAUUGCAUGGUCAGGAAUAGCACCUACAUAAACAGGAUUUGGCAACUGGAAUGAGCAUAUUAAGCUAUACUCAUCAAAUGAUCAGAUUUGCAGUGGGACAAGAAUAUUUAUAUUUUUUAAAAUGCUUUAUGGCUGUCAGAUCCCUGGAAGAAGGUUAUGGUUUACACUGAAAAUUCAUGAAGGAGUUGGACAUGCAGAAUGUGAACCAUUGUCAUAGUUGGAAAUUCAGAAAUGUAUGAAUCCUUUGGAGGGCUCUGGAUGCUGCAAAACAGGCCCUACAUUGGCCUUAUAAAGCAACACUUGCAACAUCUAUAUGCCUUUGGUAAGUAAGACAAUGGAAAUGUGAGGAAUUUGUGUCCUUGAGUCCAUGCAUCUCGGGAAUGUUUAUAAGAGCAAACAUUUAUUAAGUUAGGAUGGCUGUGUUUUAAAGAUGUCUUGCAACUUGUUCUUACCUUGGAAAUCACCCAGUCAAAAUCAUCAGGAUUUUUUCGAACACCUAGUCAUUGGAUAUUUUGCAAAAACAAUCUAAGUAACUUUGGAGAAUGGACAGUCUUGGAUAACUCAGAAAAGGUGCCUGAAUAUUUCCAAUAUUUUACUACAUAUAAUUCAUUGUAGACUAGCAGCAUUAAUGUCAAAUCCAACUAGUUGCACAAUAAUUGAGGAUUCAUAAAAUGUUUCUCGGAAUCACCAUGUAAUUACCACUGUCUCCAGUGGUGGUACAGGAAAAUAAUAUGCAAUAUUUCAAGAUAUUUAAUUAAGAAGUGUCAGUGAGUUACCUUGAAGAUAACUUCUAUCACCCCCCUAUGACAGGCCUGUGUAUGACUAGAUGAUGGAUGAGUCCCCUCAGUAUGAAAGACAGAUGAACUGAAAAACAUCAACGUGAUAUGCAGAACUCAUUAUAAUGAAGUAUAUAUAAUUGUUGUUUACUCUUUAAAGGUGACCUACAAAUACAAUGCUUUAUGGUUACUUUUCUUGUCUUCUUUAUAAUACAAUAAAAAGUUCUAAAAACUU